rnacentral:lncRNA from 1 species
AUGAAACUUCAUGNNNNNNNNNNNNNNNNNNNNCCCUGCCAGUGUCUCCGCCGGUUGAAAGCGCGUGUCUGCGUCGGGUUCUGUUUGAGAGCGUUCGGUGCGCCGUGGGUCCGCGCUGCUUCCACCCAACUUCCUGUUAGACGGAGUCUUGCCCUCUUGUGCAGGCUGGAGUGCAGUGCUGUGCUCUUGGCUCACCACAACCUCUGCCUCCUGGGUUCAAGCAAUUCUCCUCACUCAGCCUCCCGAGUAGCUGGGAUUACAGGCAUGUGCCACUAUGCCCGGCUACUUUUGUAUUUUUAGUUGAAAUGGGGUUUGUUUACGUUGGUCAUGUUGGUAUUGAAUUCCCGACCUCAUGUGAUCCGCCUGCCUCAGCCUCCCAAAGUGCUGGGGUUAGAGGCAUGAGCCACCAUACCGGCCUUUUUUAUUUUUUAUUUUUUUUGAAGUAGGGUCUUGCACUGUUACCGAGGCUGGAGUGCAGUGGUUCGAUCUUAGCUUACUGCAACCUCCAUAAUCUGGGCUCAAGUAGUCCUUCCACCUCAGCCUCCCUAGUAGCUGGGACUGAAGCUGUGUGCCACCAUGCCUGGCUAGUUUUUAUAUUAUUAGGAGAGAUGGG